AUGCUGCACGCGUUUGUGCAGAGCAACGACAACGACGACACCGCGAGCCAGGGGAGCGCCGGCGUCCUCUGGGGUCGCCGUCAGCGCGCGGCCGCCACGGAGAUGGACGGGGACGAGACGGCCGUCGUGGCGGCGGCAGAGGCUGAGGUGGUGGGGUCGGCGGAGACGGAGGAGCACGUCCAGCGCAUCCUCCUCGCCAUCGACAACUUCACUCGCAAGGUGUCGGAGAUGCUGGACUCCGGGCGCGCCAUGUUCAAGGACCUCGCCGCCGACUUCGAGGACCGCCUCUGCACGAUCCACAAGGAGAGGGUGGACAAGUGGGAGGAGGAGAUCAGGGAGCUGCGCGCCCGCGACGCCGCCAACGAGCACACCCGCGCCAGCACUUAG
rnacentral:rRNA from 1 species